rnacentral:rRNA from 1 species
UACGGAGGGUGCGAGCGUUGUCCGGAAUCUUGGGCGUAAAGCGUGCGUAGGCGGCUGUUUAAGUCUGGUGUUAAAGCUAGGGGCUCAACCCCUGUGGUGCAUCGGAUACUGGGCAGCUUGAGUGCGGUAGGGGAAGGUGGAAUUCCUGGUGUAGCGGUGAAAUGCGCAGAUAUCAGGAGGAACACCGAUGGCGAAGGCAGGUCUCUGGGCCGAUACUGACGCUGAGGAGCGAAAAGCGUGGGGAGCGAACGG